rnacentral:lncRNA from 1 species
ACAAAAUUUUAAAACUUCUUUAAUUUGGAAUUUGAUAGUUCAAACUACGCAGCAGUUCAAAGUGAAGUUUAUAGUUGUGUUAUAAACAAGUAUUUUUAAAAGUGGCAACAAAUGCUACUCUAUUCCAGAAACUCAUUUCAGAGAAUCUAAACAGCACUGCUUACACAUCCACGGUAUACCCAUUUGUUCCAGACGGAGACCUUGCCCUGUUGUUUCUGACCACGUUUCACUGUGACUGAACAGGACCUAUUUUAGCCUGAAUGUUCUCUUUCUCUUGGCAAUGUCAUAAACACUACAACAGACAAAAUGAAUUUUUAAAACAUUUCAACAAACGUUACAUUUCAAAUUCAGAAA